rnacentral:rRNA from 1 species
GAGUUUGAUCAUGGCUCAGAUUGAACGCUGGCGGCAUGCCUUACACAUGCAAGUCGAACGGUAACAGGUCUUCGGAUGCUGACGAGUGGCGAACGGGUGAGUAAUACAUCGGAACGUGCCCGAUCGUGGGGGGAUAACGGAGCGAAAGCUUUGCUAAUACCGCAUACGAUCUACGGAUGAAAGCAGGGGACCGCAAGGCCUUGCGCGGACGGAGCGGCCGAUGGCAGAUUAGGUAGUUGGUGGGAUAAAAGCUUACCAAGCCGACGAUCUGUAGCUGGUCUGAGAGGACGACCAGCCACACUGGGACUGAGACACGGCCCAGACUCCUACGGGAGGCAGCAGUGGGGAAUUUUGGACAAUGGGCGAAAGCCUGAUCCAGCCAUGCCGCGUGCAGGAUGAAGGCCUCGGUUG